rnacentral:rRNA from 1 species
AGAGUUUGAUCCUGGCUCAGAACGAACGCUGGCGGCGUGCCUAACACAUGCAAGUCGAGCGAGAAAGCCCGCAAGGGUGAGUAAAGCGGCGCACGGGUGCGUAACACGUGGGUAAUCUUCCUUGGAGCUCGGAAUAACUCCCCGAAAGGGGUGCUAAUGCCGGAUAAGACCACGGGGUCCUCGGACCCUGAGGGAAAAGGCGGCCUCUGUAUACAAGCUGUCACUCCAAGAUGAGCCCGCGGCCCAUCAGCUCGUUGGCGGGGUAAUGGCCCACCAAGGCUACGACGGGUAGCUGGUCUGAGAGGACGAUCAGCCACACUGGAACUGAGACACGGUCCAGACUCCUACGGGAGGCAGCAGUGGGGAAUCUUGCGCAAUGGGCGAAAGCCUGACGCAGCAACGCCGCGUGUGUGAUGAAGGUCUUCGGAUCGUAAAGCACUGUCGGGAGGGACGAAUAAGGGGCGGGCUAACAUCCCGUUCCGAUGACGGUACCUCCAAAGGAAGCACCGGCUAACUCUGUGCCAGCAGCCGCGGUAAUACAGAGGGUGCAAGCGUUGUUCGGAAUUAUUGGGCGUAAAGCGCGUGUAGGCGGCCAAGCAAGUCGGGUGUGAAAGCCCUCGGCUUAACCGAGGAAGUGCGCCCGAAACUACAUGGCUUGAGUACCGGAGAGGGUGGCGGAAUUCCCGGUGUAGAGGUGAAAUUCGUAGAUAUCGGGAGGAACACCAGUGGCGAAGGCGGCCACCUGGACGGAUACUGACGCUGAGACGCGAAAGCGUGGGUAGCAAACAGGAUUAGAUACCCUAGUAGUCC